rnacentral:rRNA from 1 species
CCCUUAGAUGUUCUGGGCUGCACGCGUGUUACAAUCGGGAGUACAACAAGAUUGCAAAUCCUAGUGGAUGAGUGGUUCUUCGAAAUUUUCUGAAGACUGGGAUAGUUGAUUGAAAUUAUUCAAUUCAAACGAGGAAUUCCUUGUAAUUGUAAUUCAUUAUAUUGUAAUGAAUACGUCCCUGCCCUUUGUACACACCGCCCGUCGCUCCUACCGAUUGAACGAUCCGGUGAAUUAUUUGGAGUAGCUCUGGAAGUUGCAGAACUUCCUAUGUCACGAAAUUUUGUAAACCUUAUCGUUUAGAGGAAGGAAAAGUCGUAACA